GAUGAACGCUGGCGGCGUGCCUAAUACAUGCAAGUCGAGCGAACGGACGAGAAGCUUGCUUUUCUGAUGUUAGCGGCGGACGGGUGAGUAACACGUGGAUAACCUACCUAUAAGACUGGGAUAACUUCGGGAAACCGGAGCUAAUACCGGAUAAUAUUUUGAACCGCAUGGUUCAAAAGUGAAAGACGGUCUUGCUGUCACUUAUAGAUGGAUCCGCGCUGCAUUAGCUAGUUGGUAAGGUAACGGCUUACCAAGGCAACGAUGCAUAGCCGACCUGAGAGGGUGAUCGGCCACACUGGAACUGAGACACGGUCCAGACUCCUACGGGAGGCAGCAGUAGGGAAUCUUGCGCAAUGGGCGAAAGCCUGACGGAGCAACGCAGCGUGAGUGAUGAAGGUCUUCGGAUCGUAAAACUCUGUUAUUAGGGAAGAACAUAUGUGUAAGUAACUGUGCACAUCUUGACGGUACCUAAUCAGAAAGCCACGGCUAACUACGUG
rnacentral:rRNA from 1 species